GACUGGAAAAAGACGGGCGUUCCCCCCUAUCAGCCUCCCGUGGAUGUGAGCGACAGUGAGGAGCAAGAUCUUGAGGCUGACUUCCCCGACUACGUGGACCCUCCCCUUGAGUAGUCGGCUCGUUGCGAAUGUUUUUUUUUCUUUUUUCGUAUGGGAAGAACAAUUAUCCCUGCAUUGUAAUAAUACUUAACUUUUUUCCUGCUUUUUUACUUGCUUAUUUUCUCUCGCUUUUUGCUCGGCCGUCGAUCCGUUUGCCUUGGCUCGGCCGUCGAUCGUUUUCCUCUUCCUUUCGCUUUCGUUUCCCUACUUAACUUUCGCUUUCGCCCUUCCUCUUC
rnacentral:lncRNA from 1 species